rnacentral:misc_RNA from 1 species
GAUGAAGAACGUAGCGAAAUGCGAUAAGUAAUGCGAAUUGCAGAAUUCAGUGAAUCAUCGAAUCUUUGAACGCACCUUGCGCCCCUUGGUUAUUCCAAAGGGCAUGCCUGUUUGAGUAUCAUGAACACCUCAACUCUUGUGGUUUCCCACAAUGAGCUUGGACUGUGGAGGUUUUGUUGGCCCUGUGGUCAGCUCCUCUCAAAUGGAUCAGCUUACCGGUGUUUGGUGGCAUUACGGGUGUGAUAACUAUCUACGCUCGUGGUCGUCUCCAAAUAACCUCCAGUGAUGGAGGUUCGCUGGAGCUUAUAAAUGUCUCUCCCCAGUGAAGACAGCCUUUGAACGUUCGAUCUCAAAUCAGGUAGGACUACCCGCUGAACUUAAGCAUAUCAAUAAGCGGAGGA